CCCAGGAAGAGCUGAGAAAUAAGACUUGGAGGUUAAGGGGUGGGAUCCAGAGAGAGGCACCCCCCACACACCUUUGCCCACCCUGAGAUGGGCCAGCUAGGCAAUCAGUGGACAAAGCCAAAGGGUCUGUGGGGCCAACCCACCCUCUCUCCCCCCGUCCCGUGCCGCCUCCCUCCCUUCACACCCGCUUCUUUCCCGGGGUGGUUGGAGGCCCGGUCUGGAGCCCCUAUCCUGCGCCCUCUGCUGUGUCUGUGGCGUCUGUAGUGCCUGUGAUCGUGUGUUGCCAUUUUGUCUGGCUGUUGCCCCUCCCCCACCCCUCCAGACCUUCUCCCUUUCCCGUGCCCUUGGAUAUUGUUUGAAGACUCCCUCCCCGAGGAAGAACAAAUAUGAUUAAUUC
rnacentral:lncRNA from 1 species